GGCUGAAUAGUUUACUGGUAGAAUAUGUGCCUAGCAUAUACAUGGCCCUGGGUUCAGUUCCCAGUACUGAGA
rnacentral:tRNA from 1 species